rnacentral:lncRNA from 1 species
CAACAACUUCCUUGCCAAGCGCUACUCCUCCACCUCAUCAUCCCAAUCGUGGCGAUGCACGCUCCAUGGCAAAGAUGUAAUUAUCUUCCAACGAAGAAUCCAGAAAUCUAUGGAGAAAGCUGAAUUGAGAGCGAAAUUAUCAGUAAUUUGUAGAAGUCAUUACAAAAGUAUAAUUAAACUCCUCGGUGCAUCAAUUUCUGGCGAUCACAUUUACUUAGUGUACGAUUUUGUCAUUGGUUCUAACCUUUCUCUCUGCCUCCGGAACCCUAGAAAUCCAAGCUAUACGGUUCUCUCCACUUGG